rnacentral:rRNA from 1 species
UGGGGAAUAUUGCACAAUGGGCGCAAGCCUGAUGCAGCGACGCCGCGUGAGGGAUGGAGGCCUUCCGGUUGUAAACCUCUUUUGUUUGGGAGACAAGCUUCGGGUGAGUGU